UUGCAAACUUAAUCACCAGCUCUGCAUGGUACAGCAGAAGGAAGGGGAAGCGGUUUGUUAAACUAAAUGUGGUAAUAAACCAACACUGAGCUUACAAAUAAUGGUACUAAGUGUUUUCAUUCAGUC